rnacentral:rRNA from 1 species
GUGCCAGCAGCCGCGGUAAUACGGAAGGUGCGAGCGAUAAUCGGAAUUACUGGGCGUAAAGCGCGCGUAGGCGGUUUGUUAAGUCAGAUGUGAAAGCCCCGGGCUCAACCUGGGAACUGCAUUUGAUACUGGCAGACUAGAGUUUGGUAGAGGGUAGUGGAAUUCCAGGUGUAGCGGUGAAAUGCGUAGAUAUCUGGAGGAACAUCAGUGGCGAAGGCGGCUACCUGGACCAAAACUGACGCUGAGGUGCGAAAGCGUGGGGAGCAAACAGGAUUAGAAUCCCCAGUAGUCC